rnacentral:rRNA from 1 species
AGGGAUUGCCUCAGUAACGGCGAGUGAAGCGGCAACAGCUCAAAUUUGAAAGCUGGCUCUUGCAGAGCCCGCGUUGUAAUUUGUAGAGGAUGCUUCGGGUGCGGCGCUGGUCUAAGUUCUUUGGAACAAGACGUCAUAGAGGGUGAGAAUCCCGUAUGUGACUAGCUGCCUGUGCCUGUGUGAAGCUCCUUCGACGAGUCGAGUUGUUUGGGAAUGCAGCUCAAAAUGGGUGGUGUACUUCAUCUAAAGCUAAAUAUUGGCCAGAGACCGAUAGCGCACAAGUAGAGUGAUCGAAAGAUGAAAAGCACUUUGGAAAGAGAGUUAAACAGUACGUGAAAUUGUUGAAAGGGAAGCGCUUGCAAUCAGACUUGCGCGGCGUCGAUCAACCUGGGUUCUCCCUGGUGCACUCGGCGCUGCUCAGGCCAGCAUCAGUUUCAGCGGUUGGAUAAAGGCCUAGGGAACGUGGGUUACUUCGGUGACUGUUAUAGCCCUAGGUGCAAUGCAGCCUGCUGGGACUGAGGACCGCGCUUCGGCUAGGAUGCUGGCGUAAUGGUUGUAAGCGACCCGUCUUGAAACACGGACCAAGGAGUGUAAUAUUUAUGCGAGUUUUUGGGUGUUAAACCCAUAAGCGUAAUGAAAGUGAACGGAGGUGAGAACCCUUAAGGGUGCAUCAUCGACCGAUCCUGAUGUCUUCGGAUGGAUUUGAGUAAGAGCAUAACUAUUGCGACCCGAAAGAUGAUGAUCUAUACUUGAAUAGGGUGAAGCCAGAGGAAACUCUGGUGGAGGCUCGCAGCGGUUCUGACGUGCAAAUCGAUCGUCAAAUUUGGGUAUAGGGGCGAAAGACUAAUCGAA